GUGGUUUUGAUGCGUAGGUAAGAACGGUUCUUGCUAGAAGUCUAUAGCAGCCACGUAAAACUUGCAACAACAAAGUAGAGGACGUCUAACUUGUUUUUGCAGGUCUUGUUGUGAUGUGAUAUGGUCAAGACAUGAUGUGAUAUAAGUUGUUGUAUGAGAUGAUCAUGUUUUGUAACAAAGUUAUCGGCAACUGGCAGGAGCCAUAUGGUUGUCGCUUUAUUGUACGAAAUACAAUCUCCAUGUAAUUGUUUUACUUUAUCACUAAGCGGUAGCUAUAGUCAUAGAAGCAAUAGUUGGCAAGACGACAAUGAUGGUACGAUGGAGAUCAAGGUGUCAAGCCGGUGACAAUGGAGAUCAUGACGGUGCUUUGAGAUGGAGAUCAAAGGCACAAGAUGAUGAUGGCCAUAUCAUGUCACAUAUUUUGAUUGCAUGUGAUGUUUAUCCUCUAUGCAUCUUAUUUUUUCUUAGUACGGUGGUAGCAUUAUAAGAUGUCCCUUACUAAAUUUCAAGGUAUAAGUGUUCUCCCUAAGUAUGCACCAUUGGUACAGUUCGUCGUGCCAAGACACCACGUGAUGAUCGGAUGUGAUAAGCUCUACGUUCACAUACAAUGGGUGCAAGCUAGUUUUGCACAUGCAGAAUACUCGGGUUAAACUUGACGAGCCUAGCAUAUGCAGAUAUGGCCUCAUAACACUAAGACUGAAAGGUUGAAUGUGAAUCAUAUAGUAGAUAUGAUCAACAUAGAGAUGUUCACCAUUGAAAACUACUCCAUCUCACGUGAUGAUUGGACAUGGUUUAGUUGAUAUCGAUCACGUGAUCAUUUAGAUGACUAGAGGGAUGUCUAUCUAAGUGGGAGUUCUGUAGUAAUAUGAUUAAUUGAACUUUAAUUUAUCAUGAACUUAGUCCUGGCAGUAUUUGCAAAUUAUGUUGUAGAUCAAUAGCUCGCGUUGUAGCUUCCCUACGUUUUUUGAUAUGUUCCUAAAGAAAACUAAGUUGAAAGAUAAUAGUAGCAAUGAUGUGGACUAGGUCCAUGAUCUGAGGUUUAUCCUCAUUGCUACACAGAAGAAUUAUGUCCUUGAUGCACCGCUAGGUGACAGGCCUAUUGCAGGAGCAGGUGUAGACAUUAUGAAUGUUUGGCUAGCUCAAUAUGAUGACUACUUGAUAGUUUAGUGCAACAUGCUUUACGGAUUAGAACCAGGACUUAAAAAAUGUUUUGAAAUGCCACAAAGCAUACGAGAUGUUCCAAGACCUGAAAUUGGUAUUUCAGAAUCGUGCCCGUGUCGAGAGGUAUGAGACCUCUGACACGUACUUCGCCUAAAAGGACGGAGGAGAAUAGCUCCGCUAGUGAGCAUGUGCUCAGAAUGUCUGGGUACUACAAUCGCUUGAAUCAAGUGAGAGUUAAUCUUCCAGAUAAGAUAGUGAUUGACAUAAUUCUCUAGUCACCAUCACCAAGUUACUGGAACUUCAUGAUGAACUAUAAUAUGCAAGGGAUGGCAAAAGCGAUUCCCGAGCUCUUUGUGAUGUUGAAAUCAAUGAAGGUAUAAAUGAAGAAAAAGCAUCAAGUGUUGAUGAUUAAACAAGAUCACUAGUUUCAAGAAAAGGGCAAAGGGAAAGAAGGGGAAGUUCAAGAAGAAUGGCAAGCAAAUUGUCACUCCCGUGAAGAAGCCCAAAGCUGGACCUAAGCCUGAAACUAAGUGCUUCUACUGCAAAGGAAAUGGUCAUUGGAAGCAGAGUUACCCCAAAUAUUUGGUGGAUAAGAACGAUGGCAAAGUGAACAAAGGUAUAUUUGAUAUACAUGUUAUUGAUGUGUACCUUACUAAUGCUCAUAGUAACCCCUGGGUAUUUGAUACUUGUACAGUUGCUAAGAUUAGUAACUCGAAACAGGAGUUGCAGAAUAGAUAGAGACUAGCUGACAGUGAAGUGACGAUGUAUGUUGGAAGUGAAAGUGCGUUACGUCGACUAGAGGGGGUGAAUAGGCAAUUUUUAUGAAUUCUUCACUGCAGAAUUUCAGGGUGAGGAAAUUCCUAGGCGAAGAACUACUUGCGGCGGAAUAAGUACUCAGGUAUAAGCAUACCAGAGCAACAGCAUAGUCAUCAUGAUGAAAUGAAAGACGGAACACAGAGUACAGAAAGCGUAAACACAAGAUAAGCAGGAUGAAGACAAACUGACUGAAGAAAUAGGAUUGAGGAAUUAGUGAAAGUCUUCAGUCAAAGUCUUCAAAUAGUAAUGAUCAGGUUCAUCAACACAUAAGUGAGGAAAUGAAAGGGUUGAGAAAAUAGAACCAGUAGGCUUGGUGAAGAUAAUGAUUUGGUAGACCAGUUCCAACUGAUGUGAUAGUUGUACAUCUGGUUGGAGCGGCUGAGUAUUUAAACUCGAGGACACACAGUCCCGGACACAUAGUCCUCGCCGUAUUCUCCUUGAGCUAAGAUCACACGGACCUCGCUUCACAGGUGACUUCCAAACCUUCACAGACUCGGUCACUCGGCAAUCCACAAUUCCUCUUGGAUGCUCAGACCAUGACGCCUAACCGUCUGGAGGACACAUAGUCCUCAAAGGUAACAAGCAUCGGUUCCACACAUGAACAAUCUCUUAAGUGAUGCUCAAUCACUUUGGGUUUGAGGGUUUGGUUUUGGGAUUUGGGGUUUUCCUCACUUGAUGAUUUUCUCCCAAAGUCCUCGGAGGAUGGGAUGCUCUCACAUGACAAGUGUCAGUUUCUCUUGGAGCAGCCAACCAGCUAGUGGUUGUAGGGGGCGGCUAUUUAUAGCCUAGGGAUCAGCCCGACAUGAUAAGACAUAAAUGCCCUUCAAUGAUAUGACCGUUAGGUGGUAGGAUAUUUUGGACAGCUCGCGUGUGGCACAACAACGGUCGGAUAUUUUGAGGUUCGAACCUCAGGGCUAUCAUGUUCCUCACUAUGUAGGCAAUCAGCACUGGCGAAUUCCUAACUCCUCAGUCAGAACAAAUUCCUCAGAUACCAGAAGAUCUUCGUCUCUGUCACUGAAGAAAUUGACUGAACUGAUAUGGGACUUCCAACGGCUUCACUCGAAGGAUUGGGUAGGUGUAGGAUUUUGAGAUGAACAUCACUUGGAAAGCAGUUUCCUUAGUAUUACCUUGACCCCCUUUAACUGUACGGUGUUUCCUAUGACUCAAGAAGAAGAAAAUGAAACCACAAAAACAAAAGUUUUCACGCUUCAUAGUCCUCGCAUGAAUAUCCAAGUCUUCACGGUCACACCAAUUUCUUCACUUUCAAAGUAUUCAGGAGAACCAAAGUCUUCAGCCAAAGACAUUCAUUUUUAGGGGUCGACUUGCACUGUAAAUAUCAAACUCCUCCUCGACUUAUAGAACCUGUGUACACUCACAAACAUAUUAGUCCCUUACUCUAUAAGUCUUCAAUACACCAAAAUCACUAAGGGGCACUAGAUGCACUUACAAUCUCCCCCUUUUUGGUGAUUGAUGACAAUAUAGGUUAACUUUUCAAUGGGGAUAAACAUAUGAAUUGAAAGUGCUCAAUAUUGAGGAAUCUGAUUGCAAGAUAUAGCAGAACUCCCCCUGAAGAAGUGCAUAGUGAGGAAUUUGCUUUUGAAGCAAUGCACAUUCGAAGACUAGAAUCAUGGAGAUCUCCCCCUAUAUCUUGUAAUUCAUACAUGCAUUUAACAUAUCGAAUGAAGAAUUUGAAAUGCAUGAUGAAAUAUGGUGACUGAUGUAAUUCAGCAUGCGUGCAUAGCAUAUAUGAGGAAAUAGUAUGCAGAAAACAAAGAAAAAGUAUCAGGUCACCAUCAGACUUAAGUUUACAACUCAAUCAACAAACACAUUAGAAGAGCGAGAGUUGCAGCUUAACAAAAAAUGCCCAUAUAGAUAGACCUUCUUGAAGACUAACUCAAAUUUCUCCCCCUUUUUCAUCAAAUGACCAAAAGGGACGAAAAGUGAGGACUAACGCCCCUGAAGAAUUUCAUCACGAAGUCAAUGGAGGAGCGCCAGCGUUGUUGGGGACGGUUGUUGGAGUAGGGCUUGCCGCAGUGUUGUCCAAGUCUUUGUUUUCGUCAGUCUUGCGCGAUGAGGAAUAUGAGCUGGGCACCAAAGGAGGAACUUCAACCUUCUUGAAUUUCUUCGCCGGAGGCUUGGACCAGCUGAAGUCCUGCUUGAAGCCCAUCUGCUUGAGAUCUUCAUCACCGUAGAGAUGAGUUAGGACAGCCCAUGUGCGAUCAAAAACUUCAUUGAGGUAAUAGUGGUUCUUCUUCACUGAAUUGUAUGUGGCAGUGAUGUUGUGAAGAAUAGCACCAAAUUGACAUUUGACCCAUUUAUGAUUGCGAUCCACCUUCUGACGAAGAUUGAUGAGAAGCUCAUGAUCAGUCAUCACCCUUGGAGCUGUAGCUUGAGGACUUUGCUUUGAGGUAUUGGUGGCAGAGUCAUGAGUAGCAGAGUCAUCAUUGGUGGAUUAUGAAGCAGCUUUGCGGAACUGUCCAUCCAAUGGACGAUUACCCUCAUCAAUAAUUGCAGUGGCCUUGCCCUUUUCAUCAGCUGAGGAAAAUAUCCGCUUUAGGACUUCAAUAGGGGGCAAGUAACUGCCAUGGUUGAGUGUGUCAGCUUUGUAGUUGAGUGAAGACCUUGAUAUGAGGAAUCUCAUAAUCCAAGGAGUGUAAGGCUUCAACUCAAAGGGAGACUUCACAACAUUUGCCAAAGUCCUCAUGAAGAAGUCAUGGUAGUUCACUGGAAUACCAUGCAUGAUAUUGAAAAGCAGAUUCUUCAUGAUGCCAACAACUUCUUCAUCAUUCAAUGCGUGGCCUUUGAUUGGACUCAGUGUCUUGCUCAGAAUGCGGUAUACGGUCCUUGGCACAUAUUGUAAUUCCUUCACAAGGAACUUUGUCCUAGAGGCUUGACCAGGCUACAAUGGCUUCAUCAGUACUUGCAUGAAGUGAUCAGACAGUUCAGAUUCAUUGUAGAUGAGACACGCACCUUUUGGGGGAGGACUGACAUGCAUGGCAUGAAGCAAUUCAGAGGCCGGCGCUUUAAAGUGGGUAUUUUCUGGCAUCCAGUCCAACACCCAAGAGUUCACAUCUUCUGCAUUUCCAGUGAUGUGCAGCAUCACAUAGAACUGAAGAAUGAGUUCUUCAUUCCAAUCACAGAUGUCAGUGCAAAAGUUUAGCAAUCCAGCAUCAUGAAUAGCACUGAGGACUGGUGCGAAGCAUGACAGUGAUUCCAUGUCAACAUGAGGAAUAUGCUCAUGGUCGAAGACUUUGUCUUUGUUGAAAAGCACUGAAGAAUAGAAAUUUGCUUGGCUGGCAGUCCAGAAACACUUUCUUCUUAGACGAGCAGAGUCAUAUGGAUUGUAGUCAGUGGAGAACACAUGCUCAUUGAAGAAGGCAUCAGCCUUGAACUUUGGAGUCUUGGAGAAGGGAUUCUUUGGCUUUGGCUGAGGAGUAUAAGUCAGUUGAAGCACAACCUCAGGAAUCUCAAUCUCUGGAGCCGCGGGCGGAGGAAUUUUAGCUUCUGCUUCAGUAGCAGCCUGGGCCUCCAUUUCUUCAUCAGCUUUGUCAUCAGCACUAGUGGCUGGAGUCUCUUCAUGAAGGGAAGGGGCAUUAUGAAUUUCAUCAGAGCCCAUCUGAACUUCAAUGGAUACUGGAGACUGAGGAAUUUGUUGAAGUGGUGUGAAUAGAGGAGAGUUGGGGUGCUGACUGUCCCAAAAGUCAUCGUUCAUCACAGGUGUGGUUCUCCCAAUGUCCACAUCCUCAUCCUCUUCCAUUUCUUCAAGUCCGUCCUCUUCAGCUAUGAACUGAGGCAUUGGCGAUGAUACCUGGGGAGUUGAAGUGAUAGUAUCCACCUCAAUUUCUUCAUCCAUCUGCUCUAUGGAAGCAGCAGAGGGAUUUUCCUCAAUAGAUUCAUCAAGAAUCUCAUAGUAUUCACCAAAAGGAACGAGUUACUUUGAUGGCAUGCUUGAGAGAGGAACAUCAUUGAUAGGGUUCUCAAUAGAGCUUGUCAAAAUCUUUGCCUUCUUGGGUGCAGAAGAUUCUGAGGAAAUAGAUGCUUUCCUUUUCUUCAGAGCGACUCGCUCCAUAGAUUUUGUUUUCUUCACUUCUAGAGCAAAAGGAAGAAUUGGGCUUGGUGUUGGUGCAGGCAGAGCACAGGAAAUUCGAUCAAUUUCUUCAAGCACAACUGAUGCAGUUGGCCUGUCUUGUGCAAUUUCUUCAGGCACAGCUUCAGAUUCUUCAGCUGUCCUGACUUGUUCUUCAGGCGCAACACUAGUGGUUGCCCUGGCGGUUUCUUCAGCGGCGGUAUUUCUUCAGCCCUAGUGCUAGCAGUUUCAUCAACAUCCUGAUUUUCAUCAGCGGUGCUGUCAUGUUCUUCAGUUGUCUGGGCAGAUGCUUCAGCCGAGGGAAUCCCAAUGUGCGAUGGAUUAGCAACAUUGGAGGUGAAUUUCUUUUCCAUUUUGACGAAUCUGACCUUGGCUCCCAGCCAUUCUGCUUUAUAGGCGUCAAAUUCAUCACUGAGCUUCUUGAUCUCAUAUUGCAGUGCAAUGAGUUGCUCAAGCGAUAACCUCAAAACUUUAUCCUUCAGAUAGCAUUGCUUCUUGUACUGGGCUUUCUUAGCAACUCUGGCUUGACCAUAUUUCCAUUUUUCUUCAGCAAUGAACGCUGUCAACAUGUGACUUUGUCCACGAGUAAGGUCUAGCUCAGGCAAUGGAGUGUUCGGAUCUUUGUGCCAGAGGUUAAUGAAAUCCAGGAUCUUCUUUCGAUCCAAUAGAAGAGGCACAACACUUCCUUUGGCUCUAGCGGCCCUUUGCUAUCUAUCUUUGAUGAUAUCAACUAAUUCAUCAUCAUCAGAAGGCACUUGAAAAGCAACUUGUUUCUUGUGAGGACUUGGUCUAGUGCCUCGUCCUGCAGUGGCCUUGGUCUUCAGUAAAGUUGGGCUCUUUGAAGACAGAUGAGGAACUGAAGGACUUGCAGAAGCUCCUGAGGCAAUUGAGAUGCAUGUGGUCCUUUGGCACGCUGCGAGAUGCACAGGUGCUGAGGACUUUGCCGGAGGAGCUGAGGGUUUUGAAACCCAAGGACUGGUGCAGCUUGAGGAACUGGGGCAGCUUGAGGAAUUUGCCUUGAUGGCACAGAAGAGCUUGGCCGUGAGGGCAUUGCUGAGGAACUUGGCCGUGAGGGCAUUGAGGAAGUGCGGGAUUAAGGGGUCCUCGGACGGCCGGACUAUUAACAUGGGCCGGACUGUUGGGCUAUGAAGAUACAAGACAGAAGACUUCUUCCCGUGUCCGUAUGGGACUCUCCUUUGCAUGGAUGGCAAGCUUGGCGAUUCGGAUGUACAUAUUCCUUUCUCUGUAACUGACUUUGUAUAACCCUAAUCCCCUCAAGUGUCUAUAUAAACUGGAGGGUUUAGUACAUAGGGCAGAAUCAUAAUCAUUGGCUAGACUUCUAGGGUUUAGCCAUUAUGAACUCGAAGUAGAUCAACUCUUGUAAUACUCAUAUUCAUCAAGAUCAAUCAAGCAGGAAGUAGGGUAUUACCUCCAUAGAGAGGGCCUGAACCUGGGUAAACAUCGUGUCCCCCGCCUCCUGUUACCAUUAGCCUUAGACGCACAGUUCGGGACCCCCUACCCGAGAUCCACCGGUUUUGACACCGACAGGCAUUGCUGAGGAAGUUGGUUUUUGAGCAGGCUUCUUGGGCAUAGCCUUCUUGCUUGUGGUGGCCUCAGCAGCGGCAGUAGCAGAAUCUUUGUUUAAUUUCUUCACUGCUUCUUUGGCCUGCUUGGCCAACUUAGCUUGCCGCCUGGCCCAUUCAUCAGCAUAAUCCUCACCAUGUUUAAGGCUUGUUGGAUCAGCUCUUUGGCCAGGUGCCAAUGGAGCUCUUGAGCAUGAAGGGUCAAGAGUGAAUUUCUUCAUAUAUUUAGGAGUAACAUAUUUGUACUCCCCCCAUUCUCAUGCCCAUCUUUGUUCAAUCCUUUGUAUGCGCACUUUGCGCUCAUUCUUGGUUUCUUUCCCGUGAGUUGCCUCAUCAGGCGUGUAGUACCCUGCGUAAAUGUCAUCAGGGAUCUCAAAGGCAGUGUUGACUUCAAGCUUCUUUCCUCCUUUCUGAGGUCUUUUACCAUCUGCCAUUUUCUUCAGCUGGGGAAUUUGAACAAUAGAGUUCUCUCAGGAAGUAUGCAACUUUUCUUCAAGGAACGCUGCAAAUGAGUUAAGUUGAUGAGAACCUAGUGAUUCAGCAGAAGACAUGUCUACCUGUGAAUAGAGUAUAGGUGCGAAGGAUUUGGAGAGGUCAUAUGCGUUCUCAGAAGUUUUUGCAAAAUGGAACAAGUUUGAGGAAAUUGACCAGUUGUGUCUUGAAGAAUUUCACUAAGCGUUCUUUGACUUAGGUUCCAGAGUUAUGCGGAUUGUGAGAUUCAGACAAUUGAGGAAUCAUGAAGAAAAAUGUCACUUAGAGAAACAGAUCAAGAGCAGAAGAUUGUGCUAGGUGUUUAGAGUGUGGAAGUUGAAGAAUAAACACCUUUUGAAGAUUUGAUGAAAAUCAUCAGUAGUAACAAAGGCAGUAAAAGUAACUUUUAAUUACCCUUGAUGAAGAACAUGACAAACUGGAAGUGUAGAUGGAGAAGUUCGUCAGUCCAGAUCUUCCACGCCCUAACUUGGCAGAGGAAGACGUCUACGGUGGCGGUGGAGAGAAUAUUUCUGUAGACUACGCAAGUAUGACGGUGACGAGGUCGAGGCAGUGAAGCUCUUCCUCACCGGCGACAAUGAAGGUAGCGGUGGUGCUAGGGUUUGAGAGCUCGAGCGAGGUAAGUGAGGUCGAGCGGGGUAAAUGCAGUCUGAGGAGGGUGAGGGGUAUUUAUAGCCGCAAUGAAAAACUGCUUGCCCGAGGAAAAUGGAUGAACGUGCCCGUGACCCUUCUCAUCCUAGUGACAUGUGUCACCCACGUACAGUGUGGUGAGAUCGUGUAAGAUCAUGGGUGAUUAGAUAAGUUUAUCAUGGGAUGUGUAACGGUUUGAGCGGCAAAAGUCAAAAAUUCAGAUAAGACUAUUUUAAAGUUUCGUUCGCAAUUUCUUCAGCUGGCAAGGACAAAGUGAAGAGUUUGAACGAGUUUCAAAUAGAACACAUAUGAAGAAUUUGUGAACAGACUGGGUUGAGUUUAGCAUAGAGAGGGAAAGGGUCCGAUCACAUUCACUUAGCAGAAAAGUCAACUUGAAGAAUUAGCAAUAAGUGAAUGCUGUAGAGGACAUAAAAACUCAAGUAUAUAUAUAUAGUCAAUAAAGAACAACUACGGAAGGAGUGAAAACAAUGCAAAGUUGAAGAAUUUGAAAAACUGAGGAAUUUCCAAAACAAAGAAAACUCAAAUUGAAGAUUUUCAACUUUGGUUGGUGGCGUAACCCACCAUAUAAGAAUGAUGAUUUCAGACACCGCGUACAAUUGUCAUAGGGUUCUGAAUCAAUUUCUUCAUUAAUUUCUUCACACUUAGAGGGUUAGUAUUCAUUGAUUGAAGAAAAGCGUUACUUCGUGUGUUGCACAUCUAAGUCAUUAAGUUAGCAUAAGUGUUAGGAUGUGUGUCCAUUUCAAAGAACAUUCGAAGAUUCUAAGAUAUUUAGCUCACACCGCAACUUGCUAAAUCUCUUCUCAUCCAAGGGCUUUGUGAAGAUAUCAGCCAGCUGGUCUUUAGUAUUUGCUUGGUUGAUGGAAAUGUCUCCCUUCAACACAUGGUCACGAAGAAAAUGAUGAAAAAUCUGGAUGUGCUUUGUCUUCGAGUGCUGAACUGGGUUGUGAGCAAUGUUGAUAGCACUCUCAUUGCCAUAGUAGAGUGGCACAUUCUUCACAUUGAUGCCAUAUUCAUUGAGGGUUUGCUUCAUCCAUAGCAAUUGAGCACAGCAAGAUCCAGCAGCAAUGUAUUCAGCUUCAGUAGUGGAGAGUGAUAUGCAGUUCUACUUCUUCGAGGACCAACAUACCAAGGAUCGUCCGAGGAAAUGACAUGUGCCUGACGUUGACUUGCGGUCCACCCGAUCACCAGCAUAGUCAGAGUCCGAAUAUCCAAUGAGAUCAAAGGAAGAGCCCUUGGGAUACCAUAAUCCAAGUGUUAGUGUGUGAGCUAGAUAUCGAAGAAUAUGCUUCACAGCCUUAUGGUGUGGUUCCUUCGGUGUAGCUUGAAAUCGGGCACACAUGCAAACACUAAGCAUAAUAUCUGGCCUAGAUGCACAUAGGUACAAUAAAGAGCCAAUCAUGGAGCAGUAUACCUUUUGAUCAAAGUCUUUACCAUUUUCAUCAGUGCAUAGAUGGCCAUUAGUGGGCAUAGGUAUUUUGACGCCUUUGCAAUCUUGCAUGUCGAAUUUCCUCAACACAUCCUUGAGGUAUUUCUCCUGAGAUAUGAAUAUGCCAUUGUAUUGUUGACGAAUUUGAAGUCCUAAGAAGAAUUUCAAUUCUCCCAUCAUAGACAUUUGAUAUUCUUCACUCAUCAUAUAUGCAAAUUCAUCACUGUAACGUUGGUUAGUACAGCCAAAGAUAAUAUCAUCAACAUAUAUUUGGCACACAAAUAAUUCAUCAUCAUAUGCUUUGGUGAAAAGAGUUGGGUCAAGUGAACCGGGUUUGAAGCCUUUGCUCAUGAGGAAUUCCUUCAGUGUGUCAUACCACGCCCGAGGUGCUUGCUUGAGGCCAUAGAGGGCCUUGUUGAGUCUGUAGACGUGAUCUGGAAAUUUUGGAUCCUCAAAACCUGGUGGUUGAGCAACAUAUACUUCUUCCUCAAGCUUACCAUUGAGGAAUGCACUUUUCACAUCCAUUUGAUGUAAGAUGAUAUUAUGAUGGUUAGCAUAAGCAAGCAUUAUGAAAAUAGCCUCAAGUAUAGCAACAGGUGCAAAAGUUUCAUCAAAAUCAAUUCCUUCAACCUGUGUGCAGCUUUGAGCUACAAGACGAGCCUUAUUCCUCACCACAAGGCCAUUUUCAUCUUGUUUGUUGCGGUAGAUCCAUUUGGUACCGAUGAUGUUGUGCUUGCGUGGGUCUGGUCGCUUGACAAGAUCCCACACAUUGUUGAGCUCAAAUUGAUGCAAUUCAUCUUGCAUGGCUUGAAUCCACUCAUAUUCCAUGAAUGCUUCAUCAACUUUAGUGGGCUCUGUGAUAGAGACAAAUGCAAAAUGCCCACAAAAGCUAGAUAAAUGUGAAGCUUUUGAGCGCGUGAGAGGACCUGGUGCUCGGAUGUCAUCAAUGAUCUUCUCGAUCUGCACUUCGUUCGCUAUGCGAGGAUGUGCGGGUUGACGACUUUGCUUAGGCCUAGCAAUUUCUUCAGGACCAGUUUCUUCAGUAGCACCAGUGUGAUUUUCUUCACGAUCCGGAAUGACUUCUUCAGCAGAUUCUUUGAUAGGGAUGAUAUCCUUAGUAGCAUUGAACUUGAUGGAUUCCUCAUGUGACAUUUCAUAUAACACAGGAGGUAGGUGCUCUCUUUGCGAGCCAUUAGUUUCAUCGAACCGCACAUCCACAGUUUCAACAAUCUUGUGAUGAUUGAUGUUGAAGACUCUGUAGGUGUGCAAGUCCUUUCCAUAACCAAGCAUAAUACCCUCAUGUGCUUUUGGUGCAAAUUUAGAGUGAUGGUGAGGAUCUCUAAUCCAGCAUUUAGCACUGAAGACUUUGAAAUAACUUACAUUGGGUUUCUUAUCAGUGAGGAGUUCAUAUAAGGUCUUUUUGAAGAAUUUGUGAAGAUAUACCCUGUUGAUGAUGUGGCACACAGUAUAAAUUGCUUCAGGCCAAAAGAGCUGAGGUGUCUUGUAUUCAUCAAGCAUAGUGCAAGCCAUCUCAACGAGGGUUCUGUUAUUGCGCUCCACGACACCAUUCUGCUGAGGAGUAUAAGGAGCAGAUAACUCGUGAGUAAUACCAAGUAUACCAAGAUAUUCAUCGAGGCCAGUGUUCUUGAACUCGGUUCCAUUAUCACUCCUGAUAUGCUUUAUCUUCACACCGAAGUUAGUAGAAGCCCUUGAGGAAAAUCGUCUGAAGACUUCCUGCACUUCAUUUUUGUAAGUGAUGAUAUGCACCCAUGUGUAACUAGAAUAGUCAUCAACUAUGACAAAGCCAUAUAAUGAUGCAGAACUAGAGAAUGUGGCAUAAUGAGUAGGGAACGUGGCAUAAAGAGAUCCAUAUGAAGUAAUUCAAAGGGACGAGAAGUGGACAUGAUAGUCUUCGAGGGAUGCUUGGCUCUUGUGAUCUUUCCAGCCUCACAAGCCCCACAAAGAUGAUCUUUGAGGAAUUUGACACCCUCGAUGCCAAUGACAUGCUUCUUCUUCGCGAGUGUAUGCAAGUUCCUCAUCCCAGCAUGACCAAGUCGUCGAUGCCAUAGCCAGCAUUCUGAAGCUUUUGCAAGUAGACAUGUGGCAGGUUGUGGUCCUGCAGAGAAAUCAACAAUAUACAAGUCUCCUUUCCUAAAGCCUUCGAAGACUUGCUUUUCCCUUUGUCAGUGUAGGUGAUAUGCUUCAAAUGAGAUGGCGACAAAUCAGUGUCCAUCAACAAGUUCCUGUCACCGGUCAUGUGAUUUGUACAUCCACUUUCGAGGACCCACUCGGUAGCUUUGGGUUGUUCAUCCUGCAGAUGAAUUAGUGCAACUAGGAACCCAUAUACUUCAUCAGUGAAGAAUAUGAUACCAAUUUCAUCAACAGUAACAUAUAUAGCAGUAUGAGGACAGGAGAAAUGAAUGAUUCAUUUCUUCAUGAUUAGCUUGCAUCCUUUCAAGUAUAGUCAUGUCUCCAGCAAAUUCUUCAGACGAUCAAGUUCGUCUGGAGACCUGGCCCUGCAUAAGAGAUUAGUUCUUUUUCUUCACCAUCCACAUCUGGAGGGGUGGCAAAGAGUUCAUCAUUCUGCGAGCUCCAUAAGAAAAGGAUGGCAUAGAAGCCAGUGCACUUCAUUUCAUAGAAUAGUGGUUAGGAUACGCAUAUGAAUAAGCAGAUAAAUUCUUCGAGGAAUUAUGAACAUAAUGGUUUGAAUAAUAAUGCACAUAUUCAUGGCCCUUAGAUUUUCCCUGUGAAACAGAAGUGUUAGCAUGAUGAUGUUCAUAUGAGGAUUUUGAUCCAUGUGAGGAAUUUGAUCCAUAUGAAGAAUUUGGUCCAUAUGAGGACUUGGAUCCAUAUGAAGAUUUUGAUCCAUAUGAAGAAUUUGAUCUGGGGUUCCUAUUCUUCACGGGUGGUGUCAUGAUGACAUUCACCUGAAGAUUUUCAAGACAUCUUUUAGGAACCCAGAUUUUCUUCAUAGGGGGACCGUUCCUAUAGUUAGUUCCAACAUAUUGAGCAAAUACUUCACCAUUCUGAUUCUUGAACAGUUUAUAGUUGGAGUCAAAUGACUCAUCAGAGGAAUAUUAAGAAUCACAAGUAAAGCCAAAUAGAGUGCAAGGAAUAUGAAGAAUCACAAGCAACCCAUGAGGUUUUGGGAUACUGCUCAGGUUUCCAGUAGGUCCCAUCAACAUUGAGUUUCCUCUCAAAGGCAAUACCCUCUUUCCUAGGGUUCCUGUUCAAGAUCUACUUUUUGAGCACAUCACAUAGAGUCUGAUGCCCUUUGAGGCUUUUGUAAAUGCCUGUCACAUACAAUUCCUUCAGCCCUACAUUAUCGUUGGUGAUACUUGUGGCAUCCUCUAAUGAGGAAUUAGUGACAACAGAGACAGUUGAAGAAUUUGCAUAAUAGAAGCAUUUGAACAUUCAGGUGAUGAAUUAGAAGAUUCACGCUCAAUGCAUUUCAGACAUGGUGGAAUAAAUUCUUCCGGAGCGGAACUGAUCUAUUGAGAAAGCAAUGAACCAUUUUCCAUCUAAAGAUCUUCAUAGCUCACUUUUAACUUCUCAAGAUCUUGCUUUCUCUGAAGAAAUUCAUAAGAAAGCUUCUCAUGAUCAGUUAAGAGAGUGUUAUGAUGAUUUUGAAGGUUGUCAAACUUAGUUUGAAGUCUCUGAAGGUUAUCUGUCAGAGUCUUGGUUCGAUUCAAUUCCUCACCCAACAGGUCAUCGCUUCUGUCUAGUUGAUUUUGAAUCUUCUCUAAAGCCUUCUGUUGUUUAACAGCAAUUUUAGCAAGUUUUGAGUAGCUAGGCUUGAGAUUGUCAUCAGAUUCAUCCUCACUAGAGUCAGAGGGGGAUGUUUGAGUACCUUGGCACCUUUUGCCAUGAAGCAGUAGGUGGGAGCAUAGUCAUCGAGGCUUUUGUCAGCUGAGUUGGGGAGGUCAUUUUCUUCAGUGUUGAAGAUGGACUUGCUGACGUAAGCGGUAGCAAGGGCUAAGCUUGCCACACCAGAGUCUGAUUCCUCAUAUUCCUCCUCCUCCACAUUGUCCUCAGAUUCAGCUUUAGAGUCCAUUUUCUUGCCAAUGAAUGCCCGGGCCUUCUUGGAACUGCUCUUCUUGUGAGAUGAAGACUUUGAAGAUUUAGAUGAUGAAGACUUUGAAGAAUUCUUCUUCUUCUUUGAGUCAUCAGAAUCGUCAUCUUUGUACUUCUUCUUCCUUGAUUCCUUUUCCCACAGAGGACAAUCUGACAUGUAGUGACCAGGUUUCUUGCAUUUGUGGCAAGUUCUCUUUUUGUAGUCACGAGACAAGGAAUCAUCAUUUCUUGAAGACUUUCCAAAACGACCGCGGCGAGAGAACUUCUGGAAUUUCCUCAUGAGCAUUGCUAGAUCCUACCUCAGUUCUUUAGGAUUUCCAAGGCUGCUACUAGAGUCUUCAGCUUCGGACUCAGAGACUGCCUUAGCCUUCAGUGCACGUGAUCUUUCGUAGCUCAGUCCAUAGAGAUCUCUCUUCUUAGCAAGCUGGAACUCAUGAGUAUUUAGCCUCUCGAGGAUAUCAGCGGGAUCUAGUGACUUAUAAUCAGCUCGCUCUUGAAUCAUCAGUGCUGCUGGUGUCGAAUGAAGAAUCAAGUGAUCUCAGCAAUUUCUUCACCACCUGAUGGUCAGUGAUGUCAGUGGCACCGAGUGCUUGAAGCUCAUUUGAGAUGUCAGUGAGGCGAUCGAAGGUUUGCUGAACAUUUUCAUUGUCGAGUCUUUUGAAGCGGUUGAAGAGAUUGCGAAGAACAUCAACUCGGGAGUCACGUUGAGUUGAGACUCCUUCGUUGACCUUGGACAGCCUAUCCCAAAUCAGCUUGGCAGUUUCUAGAGCACUCACUCUGCCGUACUGUCCUUUUCUCAGAUGACCACAUAUGAUAUUCUUCGCUUGAGAAUCGAGUUGCUUGAAUCUCUUCACAUCAACAGCAUUCAUAGACGAAGUGGCAGAGGGAACGCCAUUUUCCACAACAUACCAGAGAUCAUUUUCAAUUGCUUCAAGAUGCAUGCGCAUCUUGUUCUUCCAGUAGGGCUAGUCUGUCCCAUCAAAGGUAGGACACCCAGCCGAGACCUUGAUCAUACCUGCAGUCGACAUAACUAAAACUCCAGGUGGUUAAACCAAAAUCACGCAGAACAAGGGAGUACCUUGCUCUGAUACCAAUUGAAAGUGCGUUACAUCGACUAGAGGGAGGUGAAUAGGCGAUUUUUAUGAAUUCUUCACUGAGGCAUUUCAGGGUGAGGAAAUUCCUAACCGAAGAACUACUUGCAGUGGAAUAAGUACUCAGGUAUAAGCAUAAUAGAGCAACAUCAUAGUCAUCAUGAUGAAAUGAAAGACAAAACACAGAGUACAAAAAGCGUAAACAUAGGAUAAGCAGGAUGAAGACAAACUGACUGAAGAAAUAGGAUUGAGGAAUUAGAGAAAGUCUUCAGUCAAAGUCUUCAAAUAGUAAUGAUCAGGUUCAUCAACACAUAACUGAGGAAAUGAAAGGGUUGAUGAAAUAGAACCAGUAGGCUUGGUGGAGAAAAUGAUUUGGUAGACCAGUUCCAACUGUUGUGGCAGUUGUACGUCUGGUUGGAGUGGCUGAGUAUUUAAACUCGAGGACACACAGUCCCGGACACACAGUCCUCACUGUAUUCUACUUGAGCUAAGAUCACACAGACCUCGCCCAACAGUAGUGGUAAGUCUUCAUAGGUGACUUCCAAACCUUCACAGACUCGGUCACUCGGCAAUCCACAAUUCCUCUUGGAUGCUUAGACCAUGAUGCCUAACCGUCUAGAGGAUACACAGUCCUCAAAGGUAACAAGCAUCGGUUCCACACAUGAACAAUCUCUUCAGUGAUGCUCAAUCACUUUGGGUUUGUAGGUUUGGGUUUGGGAUUUGGGGUUUUCCUCACUUGAUGAUUCACUCAAAGUCCACGGAGGAUGGAAUGCUCUCAAAUGACAAGUGCCAGUUUCUCUCGGAGUAGCCAACCAGCUAGUGGUUGUAGGGGGCGGCUAUUUAUAAACUAGGGAGCAACUCGACAUGAUAAGACAUAAAUGCCCUUCAAUGAUAUGACUGUUAGGUGGUAGGAUAUUUUGGACAGUUGGCACGUGGCAUAGCAACGGUCGGAUAUUUUGAGGUUCGAAUUCCUCAGGGCUAUCAUGUUCCUCACUGUGUAGGCAAUCCACACUGGCGAAUUUCUAACUCCUCGGUCAGAACAAAUUCCUCAGAGACCAAAAGAUCUUCGUCUCUGUCACUAAAGAAAUUGACUGAACUGAUAUGAGAUUUCCAAUGGCUUCACUCGAAGAGAUGGGUAGGUGUAGGAUUUUGAGAUGAGCAUCACUUGGAAAUCAGUUUCCUUAGUAUUACCUUAACAGUACAGUGUUUCCUAUGACUCAAGAAGAAGAAAAUGAAACUACGAAAACAAAAGUCUUCACGCUUCAUAGUCCUCGCAUGAAUAUCAAAGUCUUCACGGUCACACAAAUUUCUUCACUUUCAAAGUCUUCAGGAGAAUCAAACUCUUCAGCCGAAGACAUUCAUUUUUAGGGGUCGACUUCCAUUGUAAAUAUCAAACUCCUCAUCGACCUAUAGAACAUGUGUACACUCACAAACAUAUUAGUUCCUUAACCUAUAAGUCUUCAAUACACCAAAAUCACUAAGGGGAACUAGAUGCACUUACAGGAAGUGGGUCCAAUAUUGAUAUGAUCAUCAUCACACACACCCUAUACUUUCGGGAUUAGAGUUGAACAUUAAUAAAUGUUAUUUGUUGUUUGCGUUAAAGCAUGAAUAUUAUUAGAUCAUGUUUAUUGCAAUACGAUUAUUCAUUUAAGACAGAGAAUAAUUGUUAUUCUAUUUACAUGAAUAAAACCUUCUAUGGUCAUACACCCAAUGUUGAUGGUUUAUUGAAUCUCGAUUGUAGUGAUACACAUAUUCACAAUAUUGAUGCCAAAACAUGCAAAGUUGAUAAUGAUAGUGCAACAUACUUGUGGCACUGUCGUUUAGGUCAUAUUGGUGUAAAGUGCAUGAAGAAACUCCAUGAUGAUGGGCUUUCGGAAUCACUUGAUUAUGAAUCAUUUGAUACUUGCGAACCGUGCCUUAUGGGCAAGAUGACUAAAACUCUGUUCUCCAUAACAAUGGAAUGAGCUAAUGACUUACUGGAAAUAAUACAUACCGAUGUAUGCGGUCCGAUGAGUGUUGAGGCUCAUGGUAGGUAUCAUUAUUUUCUGACCUUCACAGAUGAUUUGAGCAGAUAUGGGUAUAUGUAAUUAAUGAAACACAAGUCUGAAACAUUUGAAAAGUUCAAAGAAUCUCAGAGUUAAGUGGAGAAUCAUUGUAACAAGAAAAUAAAGUUUCUACGAUCUGAUCAUGGAGGUCAAUAUUUGAGUUACGAGUUUGUCCUUCAUUUAAAACAAUCUGGAAUAGUUUCAUAGAUCACGCCACCUGGAACACCACAGCAUAAUGGUGUGUCCAAAUGUCGUAACCACACUUUAUUGGAUAUGGUGUGAUCUAUGAUGUCUCUUACCAAUUUACCACUAUAGUUUUGGGGUUAUGCAUUAGAGACAGUUGCAUUCACUUUAAACAGGGCACCAUCAAAGUCCGUUGAGACGUCACCAUAUGAACUGUGGUUUGGCAACAAACCUAAGCUGUUGUUUCUUAAAGUUUGGGGAUGUGAUGCUUAUGUCAAAAAGCUUCAACCUGAUAAGCUCGAACUCAAAUCGAGGAAGUGUGUCUUCAUAGGAUACCCAAAGGAAACUGUUAGGUACACCUUCUAUCACAGAUCUGAAGGUAGGAUAUUCGUUGCUAAGAAUGGAUCCUUUCUAGAGAAGGAGUUUCUCUUGAAAGAAGUGAGUGGGAGGAAAGUAGAACUUGAUGAGGUAAUUGUACCUUCUCCCAAAUUGGAAAGUAGUUUAUCACAUAAAUCAGUUCCAGUGAUUCCUACACCAAUUAGUGAGGAAGCUAAUGAUGAUGGUCAUGAAACUUUAGAUCAAGUUACUACCGAACCUCAUAGGUCAACCAGAGUAUGAUCUGCACCAGAGUGGUACGGUAAUCCUAUUAUGGAAGUCAUGUUACUAGACCAUGAUUAACCUAUGAACUAUGAGGAAGUGAUGAUGAGCCCAGAUUCCGUGAAAUGGCUUGAGGCCAUGAAAUCUGAGAUGGGAUCCAUGUAUGAGAACAAAGUAUGGACUUUGGUGGACUUGCCCGAUGAUCCGCAAGCCAUAGAAAAUAAAUGGAUCUUUAAGAAGAAGACUGACGCUAACGGUAAUGUUACUAUCUACAAAGCUCGACUUGUUGCGAAAGGUUUUCGACAAGUUCAAGGAGUUGACUACAAUAAGACCUUCUCACUCGUAGCGAUGCUUAAGUCUGUCUGAAUCAUGUUAGCAAUUGCCGCAUUUUAUGAUUAUGAAAUUUGGCAAAUGGAUGUCAAAACUGCAUUCCUUAAUGGAUUUCUUAAAGAAGAGUUGUAUAUGAUGCAACCAGAAGGUUUUGUUGAUCCAAAAGGUUCUAACAAAGUGUGCAAGCUCCAGUGAUCCAUUUAUAGGCUUGUGCAAGCCCCUCGGAGUUGGAAUAUAUGCUUUGAUAAUGUGAUCAAAGCAUAUGGUUUUAUACAGACUUUUGGAGAAGCCUGUAUUUACAAGAAAGUGAGUGUGAGCUCUGUAGCAUUUCUAAUAUUAUAUGUGGAUGACAUAUUGUUGAAUGGAAAUAAUACAGAAUUUCUGGAUAGCAUAAAAGGAUACUUGAUUAAGAAUUUUUCAAUGAAAGACCUCGGUGAAGCUGCUUACAUACUGGGCAUCAAGAUCUAUAGAGAUAGAUCAAGACGCUUCAUUGGACUUUCACAAAGCACAUACCUUGAUAAAGUUUUGAAGAAGUUCAAAAUGGAUCAGUCAAAGAAAGGGUUCUUGCCUGUGUUACAAGGUGUAAAGUUGAGUAAGACUCAAAGCCCGACCACGGCAGAAGAUAAAAAGAGAAUGAAAGUCAUUCCUAUGCCUCAGUCAUAGGUUCUAUAAAGUAUGACAUGCUAUGUACUAGACUAGUUGUGUGCCUUGCUAUGAGUUUGGCAAGCGGGUACGAUAGGAGUGGAUCAUUGUAUAGCGGUCAAAGUUAUCCUUAGUUGCCUAAGAGGACUCUGGAAGUAUUUCUCGAUUAUGGAGAUGAUAAAGAGUUCGUCGUAAAGAGUUAUGUCGAUGUAAGCUUUACACCAAUCCAGAUGACUCUGAGUCUCAAUCUGGAUACAUAUUGAAAGUGGGAGCAAUUAGCUAGAGUAGCUCCAUGCAGAGCAUUGUAGACAUAGAAAAUUUGCAAAAUACAUACUUCUCUGAAUUCAAUCAGACCCACUGACUAAACUUCUCUCACAAGCAAAACAUGAUCACACCUUAGUAGUCUUUGGGUGUUAAUCACAUAGCAAUGUGAACUAGAUUAUUGACUCUACUAAGCCCUUUGGUUAUUGGUCACAUGGCAAUGUGAACUAUGAGUGUUAAUCACAUACAGAUGUGAACUAUUAGUGUUAAAUCACAUGGCAAUGUGAACUAGAUUAUUGACUCUAGUGCAAGUGCGAGACUGAAGGAAAUAUGCCCUAGAUGCAAUAAUAAAGUUGUUAUUUAUAUUUCCUUAUAUCAUGAUAAAUGUUUAUUAUUCAUGCUAGAAUUGUAUUAACCGGAAACUUAGUACAUGUGUGAAUACAUAGACAGAACAAAGUGUCCCUAGUAUGCCUCUACUUGACUAGCUCGUUAAUCAAAGAAGGUUAUGUUUCCUGACCAUAGACAUGUGUUGUCAUUUGAUGAACGGGAUCACAUCAUUAGAGAAUGAUGUGAUGGACAAGACCCAUCCGUUAGCUUAGCAUAAUGAUCGAUAAGUUUUGUUGCUAUUGCUUUCUUCAUGACUUAUACAUGUUCCUCUAACUAUGAGAUUAUGCAACCCCCGAAUACUGGAGGAACACCUUGUGUGCUAUCAAACGUCACAACAUAACUAGGUGAUUAUAAAGAUGCUCUACAGGUGUCUCUGAAGGUGUUUGUUGGGUUGGCAUAGAUCAAGAUUAGGAUUUGUCACUCUGUAUAUCGGAGAGGAAUCUCUGGGCCCUCUCGAUAAUGCUCAUCACUGUAAGCCUUGCAAGAAAUGUGACUAAUGAGUUAGUUACAGGAUGAAGCAUUACGGGACGAGUAAAGAGACUUGCCGAUAACGAGAUUGAACUAGGUAUGAUGAUACCGACGAUCGAAUCUCGGGCAAGUAACAUAUCGAUGACAAAGGGAACAACGUAUGUUGUUGUGCGGUUUGACCGAUAAAGGUCUUCGUAGAAUAUGUAGGAGCCAAUAUGAGCAUCCAGGUUUUGCUAUUGGUUAUUGAUCCGAGAUGUGUCUCGAUCAUGUCUACAUAGUUCUCGAACCCGUAGGGUCUGCACGCUUAACGUUCGAUGUCGACUUAUAUUAUGAGUUAUGUGUUUUUGAUGACCGAAGUUUGUUCGGAGUUCCGGAUGAGAUGACGGACAUGGCAAGGAGUCUCGAAAUGAUAGAAACAUAAAGAUUGAUAUAUUGGACAAAGGUAUUCGGACACCGAAAUGGUUUCGGGACGUUUCAGAUAUUUAUCAUUGAACCGAGGGGUUACCGGAACCCCCCCCCCCCCCCGGGGGGGGGGGAGUUACGGGCCUUAAUGGACCAUAAGGGAGUAGGAGAGGGGAUCCCUCAGGGUGGCGCCCCCCUCCCAAGGGAGUCCGAAUUGGACAACGGGGAGGGGGCACGCCCCCUCUUUCCCUCUCCCUCUCCCUCUCCUUCCCUCUUUCCCCUUCUUGGAAUAGGAAAGGGAGACCAACUAGGAUUGGGAAUCCUAGUUGGACUCCCCCUUGGCGCGCCCCUCUAGGCCGCCGGCCUCCUCCCUCUUCUCCUUUAUAUACGGGGGCAGGGGCACACCAAGAUUUCUCUUAGCCAUGUGUGGUGCCCCCUUCCACAGUUUAUUCCUCCGGUCUUAGCAUCGUAGUGCUUAGGCGAAGCCCUGCGCGAAUCACAUCGUCAACACCGUCACCACGCCGUUGUGCUUACAAAACUCUCCGUUGACCCUCUACUGGAUCACGAGUUCGAGGGACAUCAUCAAGAUGAACGUGUGCUGAACACGGAGGUGCCGUACGUUCGGUACUUAGAUCGGUUGGAUCGUGAAGACGUUCGACUACAUCAACCGUGUUAAUUAACACUUCCGCUUUCUGUCUACGAGGGUAUGUGGACACACUCUCCCCUCUCGUUGCUAUGCAUCUCCUAGAUCGAUCUUGUGUUAUCGAAGGAAAUUUUUGAGAUUGCAUGCUAUGUUCCCAACACUUGAUCCUAUCUUGCAAGUUGUAGAUACCUAUUAUGAGUUAUGAUCUGCAUACCCAAGGUGACAAUAAUUGGGAUUCUUUCCGGUGAUUACUGUAGUUUGAGGAGUUCAUGUAUUCACUAACUGCUAAUGCUUUGUUCUGGUUUUCUAUUAAAAGGAGGCCUUAAUAUUCCUUAGUUUCCAUUAGGAACCUGGUGCCAUGGGAGGGUAGGACAAAAGAUGCCAUGCAAGUUCUUUUCCAUAAGCACGUAUGACUAUAUACAGAAUACAUGCCUACAUUAUAUUGAUGAAUUGGAGCUAGUUCUGUGUCGCCCGGGUUAUGACUGCUACAUGAUGAAUAUGAUCCAACACAAUUAUCAUUACCAAUCCAUUGCCUACGAGCUUUUCACAUAUUGAUCUUUGCUAAGUUACUUUCAUUGCUACUGCUGUCACAAUCACUACAAAACUGCCACUGUUCCUUUUGCACUGUUAUCGUUACUUCAUACUCGUGAAUAUUCUUUGCCUCCCCUUGUGUCAAAUCAAUAAAUUUGGGUUGAAUACUCUACCCUCGAAAAUUGUUGCGAUCCCCUAUACUUGUGGGUUAUCAAGACCUUUUCCUGGUGUUGUUGUCGGGGAGCAUAGCUCUAUUCUCUGAGUCAUUUGGGAUUUAUAUUUGUUGAUCACUAUGAGGAAUUUGAAAGAUACCAAAACCAAGAUUUUUCCGUCUAGGACGAGGGGAGGUAAGGAACUGCCAUCUAGCUCUACACUUGAUUCACCUUUGAUUUUGAGUAAGAUUGCAACACCUACACCUGCUAUUGAUUUUGAUAUGUCGCAAGUAAUUGAUGAUGCUACUUCUGCUAUGCAUGAUACUUAUGAUGAUACUACUACUUUGCUUGAUAAUAAUGUGCCACUGGGUGAAUUUCUUGAUGAACAACUUGCUAGAGCUAAAGAUAUUGAGAAUGCUGAAACUGAUGAUAUUUCUAAAACUGGUGAAAUUGUUGAAAUUGGACACUUUGAAACACCCAUUAUACCUAGCUCUCCUGGAUAUGAAUUUCCUGUUAUACCUGAGGGUUAUGUUAUGAAUGGAGAGAUAGCUAGGGACUUUAUUGCUUGUAAGGAUAGAGAUGAUAUUAAGAAAUUACUAUCCAAGUGGAAAGAAAAAUCUGUGAAUGCUAGAAUGCAAUAUGAUAAUAAGUUUGCUACUUCACCUAUAUUUGUUACUGAUAAGGAUUAUGAAUUCUUUGUCGAUCCUGACUUAAUUACUUUGGUUGAAUCUGAUCCUUUAAAUGGUUAUGAAUCUGAAACUGUUGUGGCACAUCUUACUAAAUUGAAUGACAUAGCCACCCUGUUUGCUCAUGAUGAAAAAAAUCGAUAUUACUAUAUUCUUAAGUUGUUUCCUUUCUCAUUAAAGGGUGAUGCUAAGAUAUGGUUUAAUUCUCUUGCUCCUGGUUGUGUGCAUAGUCCCCAGGAUAUGAUACACUACUUCUUUGAAAAAUAUUUUCCUGCUCAUAAGAAACAAGCUUCUUCAUAGAAAAUAUUUAACUUUGCGCAAAUUGACGAAGUUGUCUCCCACAAACUUGGGGGAGGCUUCUCCAAUUACUUAAUGAUUUUCCUGAUCAUCCUCUCAGGGAAAAUGAAAUACUUGAUAUCUUUUAUAAUGGACUAACCGAUGCUUCUAGGGACAACCUAGAUAGUUGUGUUGGUUGUGUUGUUGGGGAAUGAACUGUUGAACAAGUUGAAGUACUAUUGAAUAAUAUAUUGAGUAAUGUUAAUGAUUGGACUCUUCCCGAACCACCUCCUAAGCCAACUCCGAAGAAGAGGGGUAUUCUAUUUCUCAGUCCUGAAGAUAUGCAAGAGGCAAAGAAAUCUAUGAAAGGAAAAGGUAUUGAAGCUGAAGACGUUAAGAAUUUACUGCCUAUUGAAGAAAUACAUGGUCUUAAUACUCUGACAUAGGUAGUAGAGGUAAAUUCUCUCUAUAGAUUUGAUCAAGGUGAUAUUCCUCAUAAUAAAUCUGCUAGUCAAUGCUUGGAUGAAUUUGAUAACUUUAUUGUUAAACAAGAAAACUUCAAUGCUUAUGUUAGUAGACAAUUGAAAAGAAAUGCUUUUAUUCUUGGUUGACUCUAUGUGUAGAACUAUUAAUGAUCUCAAGAUUGUUAGUAAACAUGCUUCCAUGGUAAAAACUCAAGUGGAACAAGUUCUCAAAGCACAAAAUGAUUUGCUCAAUGAAAUGGAUAAUAAGAUGAAUGAUCAUGUUGUUAGAGUUAUGACCAGAGGUGGUAAAAUGACUCAGGAACCUUUGUAUCCUAAGGGCCAUUCUAAGCGAAUUGAGCAAGACUCUCAAAGAAUUAAUACUGAUGCACCUAGUCCUCCUGGUAAUAAAAAGAAAAAGAAUGAUGAUAGGACUUUGCAUGCUCCUAGUGAACCUGUAAUAGACACACCAGAGAACCCAGAUGAUAUUUCUCCUUAUGAUGCUGAGACACAAUCAGGUGAUGCACAUGAACCUAGUGAUAAUGUUAAUGAUGACAUUCAGGUUGAUGCUCAACCUAGUAAUGAUAAUGAUGUGGAGAUAGAAUCUAUUGUUGAUCUUGAUAAUCCACAACCUAAAAAUAAAAGAUAUGAUAAGAGAGACUUCAUUGCUAGGAAACAUGGUAAAGAAAGAGAGACAUGGGUUUAGAAACCCAUGCCCUUUCCUCCUAAACCAUCCAAGAAAAAGGAUGAUGAGGAUUUUGAGCGCUUUGUUGAAAUGCUUAAACCUAUCUUUUUGCCUUUGCGUUUGACUGAUAUUCUAAAAAUGUCUCCUUAUGCUAAGUAUAUGAAAGAUUGUUACUAAUAAAAGAAAGAUACCGGAAGCUGAAAUUUCCACCAUGCUUGCUAAUUAUACAUUUAAGGUUGGAAUACCAAAGAAACUAGGAGAUCCAGGAAUACCAACUAUACCAUGCUCCAUUAAAAGAAACUAUGUUAAAACUGCUUCAUGUAAUUUGGCAGCCGGUGUUAGUGUUAUGCCUUUCUCUUUGUAUUGUAGACUUGAAUUGAAUAAGUUGACACCAAUUGAAAUAUCUUUGCAAAUGGACAAUAAAUCAACUGCUAUACCCAUCGGUAUUUGUGAGGAUGUGCCUGUCGUAGUUGCAAAUGUUACUAUCUUAACGGAAUUUGUUAUUCUUGAUGUACCCAAGGAUGAUAGUAUGUCGAUCAUACUUGGUAGAACUUUUUUGAAUACUGCAUGGGCUGUUAUUGAUUGCAAUAAAGGCAAUGUAACUUCUCAUGUUAAUGGUAAUGAGCAUAAGGUGCACUUUCCGAAGAAACAACCUCAAGUUAAUAGCAUCAAUUCUAUUGGAAAAUUUUCAACUAUUGCUAUUGGAGGUUUUGAAAUCCCUAUUCCUACUGUCAAAAAGAAAUAUGAUAUUCUUAUUGUUGGGGACAUUCAUAUCCCCAUUGAGGUAACCAAAUGCUAUACGAAGAUUCUCCGGUUUCAUGUCAUUCGAAAGAAGUUUGUUAACAAGACUUGAGCAACCUUGUUAAUGGGUUUCUUUUGAUGGGCAUGAGAUGGAUGAAUUUAGUAGACACAACUUUCUGUACCUACUUUUUACUUUCUGUUAUUUAGAAUUAAUAAAGCAAAAUAAUAUUAUUUUCUGUUUUCUGAAUUAUCUGUGCAAUAAAAAAUUGACCAGAAAAUAAAAAUUCUCCAAAUGCCCUGAAAAUUUAGUAUGAUUUUUUCUAGAAUAUUUAAGAAUUUUUUGCACUGAAAACACCUCGGGGGAGUGCACCAGUGGGCCACAAGCCCACAUGGCGUGUCCACCCCCCAGGACAUGCCUAGAGGGCUUGUGGGUCCCACGUGGGUCCCCCUCACUUAUGCCAGCAUCCAUCUACUUCAUCUUCCUCCAGAAAAAAUCCCACCAUUGCUCAAACCUGUGUUCUUGCUCAUUUUGCUGCCAUUUUUUAUCUUGUUGCUCCAAAAUACAUUUCCAAAACUAUUUUGGGGGAUUGUUCUUUGGUGUGUGACUCCUCCAAUGUCUAAUUAGUUUUUGUUAUAGUGCUUUAUAUAUUGCAAUUUUUUCCUACUGUGUUGACCUUGUUCUUGAGCUGGCAUGUCAAACUUAUAUGGUACAAAGUAGUUUUGUUGCAUGAUAUAGCCUCUGGACACUUGUGGGAGUACUUGAUAUCAAUUUUUUUAGUUUGGUUCACUUUUAUUUUGAGUCACUAAAAAUUUCAGAAAUUUCCAAAGGGGGGGAAACCACGAGGAGGUGGUUAAGGGGUUCUUCGAGACGGAAUUCGAAGGGAAAUGAAAAUGAGAAGAAGAAGAAGCCCAAGUACAACCUUCCUCGCGCUGCAGAGGUUCAGCCGUGUGAGUAGCCAAAUGAUGCAUUGUUGAGGGAGGCUGGAAUUUAUGACGAUUUCUGUUACUUGGUGGAGAAUGCUGGCAUCACCGCCUUCCUCCAAGAUAAGUGUGAUCAAUACCUCCUCCUCACUAAUACCUUCAUGCAAAAUUUCCACUUUCAUUCUAGGAAGGAUCCUUCCAUGGUAGAAUUUCACUUGUAUGAUGUGCCUAAGCGAAUGACACUUUAUGAAUUUUGUGAUGUUUACAAAAUACCUUUUGAGGGCAGCGUCAGUGAGCCACGUCCUAGAGACGUAGAGGAUUUUAUUGCUGAAAUUACUGUGGGGAAAGAGAGAGGGGUGUCGGAAGCGAGAGUGGCUAGCUUACAUUUUCCUGUUUUACACUAUUACUCAUUAUUUGCCGGGAGAUGUUUGAUUGGUCGUGGGGAGAGUGAUGGCCUCAGUGCCCCCGACCUUGCCAUUUUGCACCAUGCUUUAUUUGUUGAUACAACUUUUAGUUUGGGUGUUAUUGUUUCUCGAUGGUUAAACACAAACCGCUCGAAGGGUACCAUUUUUGGAGGUAUCUAUGCCUCCCGCCUUGCUAAACAUUUGAGAUACCCAUUAGGCUUGAUGAUGAGGAGGAGAUGUUGUUACCCAAUAAAUAUUUAAACUAUGCUAGUAUGGUAGCACAUGAUUUUAUUAAGAAAGACAAUGGCAAACGACUCCUGUACAACCUCGUAUUUAGUCAGGGUACUUGUGAGAUUAUUACUUUGCCUGCACCUUCGUUGUUCGAUAUUCAUUCAGGAAGGUACGCCAUUAUGCCCCAGGACAUUUAUGCAUAUUGGAGCUUAAUGCAACAUCCAGCACAGCCAGCACGAGUUCCUGAUCCAUAUCAGGAGCCUAUUUAUCAGUGGGAGCCACAGGAGCUCGCCAACCAGUGGAACCCUUAGGACCCUCCGCAUAUCGAGAAGGGGUUAUUUCCAGUCGUGGCCCUAGACCAACUUAGGCCAAAAGCCUAAGCUUGGGGGAGUACGUAUUUCUAACCGACAUUACAUUCAUGUUCACACAUUCAUUCCAGUUGUCGGUGUUCAUGCUUUUUCAUUGUAUUAUCAAUGUUAGUUUAUUUUUGCUUUCUUCUUGUGUGUUUGGAAAACCUUGAGAAAAUCCAAAAAAAAUAUUUCUCACUUCUUUUCAGUUUUUCUUUCUAGUUUAUGUAGUAGUAGUAUUAAAAGAAAACCCAAAAAGAUUUCUCAUUCUUAUUUUGCUUGUUGGGAGCUUUCCUGUGUAAAUAGUUUUUCUCGUUUUCGUUUUUGCUUUUUUCAGAAAAAACAAAACUCCAAAAAUAUUUCAGUGUGUUUCUUCGAAAUUCUUUUCUUUUUCUUUGGGUCGUAAGGAGAAGACCACGAUGAAAAUGUUGAGUGGCUCUCAUAUGCAAUAUUGUUGAUCUAACAAAGAGCCCAUAUUACCUUGUCUUCUCCUUUGAAUAAAUGUUUGCAGAUUCCAGCUCAUGCCAAUGCACAUGCACUCUUAUUAUUAUCCACACCGUCCGGUCAUGCAAGUGAAAGGCAAUAAUGGAAAUAUAUGAUGAAAUGAUUGAGAUGAGGAAAAGAUGGUAUGAACUCGACCUAUUUUGCUUGUAAAUAUGAUUAGCUCAUCAUUCUUGAUUCAGCCCAUUAUUAAUGAAACAUGUUUGCAAUGGCAAUUAGAGAUUAUAGUUACUCAUGCCAUGCUUAAGUAGCUAGGAGUUGAUAAUGGUUUAUCUUGUGUGCCAACAUGUGUUUAAAAUGGUUGUGAUGUACUAUGAUAGGAUGGUAUCCUCUUCUGAAUGAUUCAAGUGGCUUGACUUGGCACAUGUUCACAGAUGUAGUUGAAACAAAAACAACAUAGCCUCCAUGAUAUUUAUGUUCAUGGUGAUUUAUAUCCUACUCAUGCUUGCACUCAAUGUUGGUUAACCUCAAUGCAUGUUUAUGACCAUUGUCGCUCUCUAGUUGGUCGCUCCUCAAUCUUUUGCUAGCCUUCACUUCUACUAGGAAGGAAUACUGCUUAUACGUCCAUUUCCUUAAACACAAAGUUGUUCCGUAUGAGUCAACCAUACCUAUCUAUAUGUGGUAUUUACCUGCCGUUCCAAAGUAAAUUUGCAUGUGCCAAACUCUAAACCUUCAAAUAAUAAUAUAUUUUGUAUGCCCGAAUCGCUCAUGUAGUGACUAGGGGCUAUCAGUAUCUUCCGUGCUAGGUGGGUUAGUAUCUUCCAUGCUAGGUGGGUUUCACGAUGAGUGUUUAUUCACUUGUCAUUCACGAGAAAGUGGCCGGUAAUUGGGAUGCCCAGUUCCAUGCUCAAAAUCAAAUCAAAAUAUAAUCAUAAAACAAAACUCCCCCAGGACUGUUGUUAGUAUGGACGGUACACGUGGAUUCGGCUAGCCAUGGAGUGUGAUUGUUGGUGGAGGGGGAGUAAAAACUUUACCAUUCUGUUUGGGAACCGCCUAUAAUGUAUCUAGCAUGGAAGAUAGAGAGAUCUUUUGGUUUUUAUGUUGAUAAUGAAAGCAUACCGCUCAAAAUUAUAUUCAUCUCUGUUUUAAAAGCUCUGAGCUCUGGCACCUCUGCAAAUCCCUGCUUCCCUCUAUGAAGGGCCUAUUCAUUUACUUUUAUUGUUGAGUCAUCAUCCUCUUAUAAGAAAGCACCAACUGGAGAGCGCCACUGUCAUUUGUAUGCUUUGUUUUUAAUUGAUGUUGAGUAUGAGGGUGAUUGAAUCUCUUUUGCCAUGAAUUAUAAUGUCUAAUCAGUCCUUGAUCUUCAGGGGUGCUCUGCGUUUAUGUUUUGUGGUCUGAGAAAGGGCUAGUGAGAUACCAUUUUGUCAUAUUAUAUCAUGAUUGUUUUGAAGAAAUGUUGUCAUCUGAGAUUUAUUAUUAUUACUUGCUAGUUGAUUAUGCUUUUGAUAUGAGUAAAUGUGACACCUAAAUGUUAUUGUGAAUAUGGUUAGUUCAUAAUCUUUGUUGAAACCCUCAAUAUUUGCUAGACAUAUUUGCAACAACAUGAUCAAACAGAGUUGUUAAAGUUUUUCUUUGUCAAUUUUAGUUUGUCAACUGAAUUGCUUGAGGACAAGCAAUGGGUUAAGCUUGGGGGAGUUGAUAUGUCUCCAUCGUAUCUACUUUUCCAAACUCGUUUUCCCUUGUUUUGGACUCUAAUUUGCAUGAUUUGAAUGGAACUAACCCGGACUGACGCUAUUUUCAACAGAAUUGCCAUGGUGUUAUUUUUGUCAGAAAUAAAAGUUCUCGGAUUGACCUGAGAAUUUACGGAGAAUAUUUGUGGAAUGUAUAAAAAAUACAGGCACAAGAAGUUAUAAGAGGGGGUCCACCCAGAGGCCACAAGCCUCGCGGGCGCCCCCCUGGGGCAUGCCUAGAGGGCUUGUGGACCCGUUGGACCUCCUUCAACCCCGACUCCAACUCUAUAUAACCCUAUUCAGGGAGAAAAAACAGAGAGAAGGAUUCAUCAUGUUUUAUGAUACGGAGCCGCCGCCACCUCCUAUUCUUCAUCGAGAGGGAUGAUCUAGAGUUUGUUCAGGGCUCUGGAGCGGGGGAUUUGUCGCCAUCAUCAUCACCAACCUUCCUCCAUCACCAAUUUCAUGAUGCUCACCGCCAAGCAUGAGUAAUUCCAUCAUAGGCUUGCUGGCCGGUGAUGGGUUGGAUGAGAUUUAUCAUGUAAUCGAGUUUGUUUUGUCAGGGUUUGAUCCCUAGUAUCCACUAUGUUCUGAGAUUGAUGUUGCUAUGACUUUGCUAUGCUUAAUGCUUGUCACUAGGGACUGAGUGCCAUGAUUUUAGAUCUAAACCUAUUAUGUUUUCAUGAAUAUAUUUGUGUUCUUGAUCCUAUCUUGCAAGUUGUAGACACCUAUUAUGAGUUAUGAUCCGCAUACCCAAGGUGACAAUAAUUGGGAUUCUUUCCGGUGAUUACCGUAGUUUGAGGAGUUCAUGUAUUCACUAAGUGCUAAUGCUUUGUUCCGGUUCUCUAUUAAAAUGAGGCCUUAAUAUCCCUUAGUUUCCAUUAGGACCCCGCUACCACGGGAGGGUAGGAUAAAAGAUACCAUGCAAGUUCUUUUCCAUAAGCACGUAUGACAUGCCUACAUUAUAUUAAUGAAUUGGAGGUAGUCCUGUGUCACCCUACUUUAUAACCGCUACAUGAUCAAUAUCAUCUAACACAAUUAUCAUUGUUGAUUCAUUGCCAACGAGCUUUUCACAUAUUGAUCUUUGCUAAGUUACUUUCCUUGCUACUGCUGUUACAAUCACCACAAAACUGCCACUGUUACUUUUGCCACUAUUAUUACUUCCAUACUACUUUGCUACUAAAUACUUUGUUGCAGAUAUUAAGUCUUUCUGGUGUGGUUAUUCACAAUUCAACUGCGAAUACUCGUGAUUAUUCUCUGGCUCCCCUUGUGUCGAAUCAAUAAAUUUGGGUUGAAUACUCUACCCUCGAAAACUGUUGCGACCCCAUAUACUUGUGGGUUAUCACUAACAAAGAAAACCGUCCACCACUACAAUUCAAGGGGAGCACAAAGAGUAACCUAGAAAUAAAUGUUAUGGAAAUCAGUGAUCUCAUAGCAAGGUGUGCCCCUCCAAGCAAAAAACUUGUAGAAAGCUCAAGCAGCAUGUCUUCCAUUUUCAUGCAAGCAGAGAUGGAUGGACCACAGAUUCACCAAAGCAAAAGCGCGUCAUCAAACAACUUUGUUCAUGAGUACUGCCCAGUCCCAUCUUUCACACUCGUCUUAAAUGAGAUAUUUGAUCCACAAACUACAGUUGAGGGAGCACAGGAAGGUGAUGGGCCAAGCAGUAUCACAGAACGUGAGUACACACAAAUUCUUGAUGACACUGAUGAUUUGCAAUUUGGAGCUGGCAAUGAAGCACGUGAAGUAUCCACACCAGAAAAAACUUCUAACAAGCAUAAGAAGGAUCAGGUAGCAAGUAUUACAACAGCAGCAGCUUUGGAGAACAUGUCCUUAAUCAAUUUGAAAGAAGGAUAAUCAAGCCAGCCCCUUGCAUGAGGUCACUAUUCAUGGACUACAGCAAGAAAAAAAAACUUUCUACACAGAGCUGAUGUCAACUGGUUAUAUGCAUCGGUUAUUUUGCAUGGGAGCUUAAAUGAAGAAGAAUCGCCUGAUGUAGAUACCGGGUAAAACAAUGACCAAGACUUUUUACUUUGUUCAGGCAACAUAUGUAAUGUCAUGUAGGCAUAUCAUACACCAACAGCAGACAAGUUUUAUGGAAAACUACAACAGAACAACAAGUUGAUUCUAAACCACUUUUUGUUUUUGAUUAUGAGCAACAUGUCAGCAUGCCAUUUUGUUUUUUUUUCUCAUUUUUAAUGUAAUCCAAAGGUAAUCGACUACCGUCGAUACUAUGUAACCAUGAGGGAGCUUCCUAACGAAAUGAAAAGGGAAGGUUUCCUAUUGUCCCAUGUAGUUGAAAUUGGGACACAGUCCAUCAUGAUGAACUUGCCACCAGAUUCAAAGAAGGUGGUGAUGCCCUUGAGAUUCUCGGUAAGAAAAAGGUAGUCAUAUUUUAUGUUUUUCAAUGUUUCGCUUUUUCUUGUGUUGUUUUGUAGGUGCAUUUUUUCCUUUUCUUUGCUUUUUCAGACAGAGUUGCAGCAGAUGAUAUUAGAUAGCAAAGAGCUUGUUUCAAGAUUCAACAAAUCCAACCGGCUGGACCAUAAAGAUCUGGUCAGCCAAAAUGUUACUCGUUGUUCAUAUCAUUUUCUUUUAUUUUUUGUAGCUACAAUGCAUGGAACAAGUGUGUAAACAACCACAUAGCAUGCAAGAAGUUUCUCACACAAAUGUUUAUACUUGCCUGAGUAGCAACAUAAGUUGCUUAUGGCAUUACCACACAUCAUCCCUCCCAUUAUCCCCCCAUGUGUUUCAAGUUGCUCAAAUGAUUGUACCAAAUUGCUAGAGAGUAAUAACACAAGUUGCUUAUUUUUUAAGCUUGUUUUCCUAUGUUUAUUUUUCAUAUGUAAAUAUGCUUUCUGACCACACAGAUUCUUCUACUUCCCUUAGGGCAACUACACAAGUUGUUUAGAACAAAAGACACAAACUUGCUUACAUAUUUUUUAGGAAUUUGCCUGAGCAUAGUUGUAUAAGUUGCCCACAUUCACAUCAUAUCUUUUUUGGGCUGUAUAACAACCUUUUUUGGUUGCCUCCUCAUUCUACAGAUUAUGUUCCCUGUCAUGGAGAAGAUUGACAAAACAAAGCCAAUCACAUGAAACCAUUACCGGGUUUUCAAAGUGAAUAUACGAGAUCGAAAGUUUGAGGCGCUUGAUUCAUGGAGGACGCUUCCCAACAAGACCCUGGACGAUUGUGCAAGGUCUAUUGUCGCAAGUGUCCAAGCUCUCUCGAAGGAACACUACCCCAAGUCUCACAUUGUCAUGGACAAUUUUAAACUUAUCGACAUUGAUGUACCAAAGCAAAACAAUGAGUAAGCAACCACGCCACCCAAAUCGCUAGCUUUUUUACAAUCAUUAUUUUGAUCUGACCUUUUAUUUUUCUUUAUUUUUCACUAUAUUUAUAGUACAUACAAGAAACUAUGCAACUAAUAACAUACUGUUUUUUCCUUUUGUUGUACAGGUUUGACUGUGGGGUUUCCGCUCUUACACUCGCAAGUGGUUGGGAGGCAAGGACUAUUCCUAUUUUUUUUACUAUAAACAGUAGGGUAAACACUCCACUUCAACUUUUAUUAAUUAAUGAACUAAGUAGAGUAGUCUUAAGGGCUUGAGGUAAGCCCUAAAACAGAAAGAAGAAAAAUAAAAGAAGAAGAAGACAUCAAGAGAAACUAGGAAAAAGGACUACAACAGGAGAAAGAAAAUAAGAAAAAAUAAAAUAAAAUAAAAAGAAAUUACAAUAGAGUAUCCAACCAGGUAGAGAACUUUCUCUCAUGCUUUAGUUUCAUUAUAUAUUUCAGUAGUUUUAGCUCCUCUAGAUAUAUGAACUUCCAUCCCUGGAAAGUUGGUGUAAUAUUCUCAAAUAUCUUGUUAUUUCUGGUUAUUCAAAUGGCCCAUGAUCCGAGAAUGAUGAUCUCCAUAAAUAAUGGAAAAUGGAGCUUAUUUUUAUGAUCCUAAAAAGCUUCCAGAACUAAUAGAUUUGGAGUUCUGGUAGGACAGAUGUAAUCCCAGCAUUGCUGUGCAAAAGAGCAGCCCCAAAAUAAGUGAAGUAGAGUUUCUUCCUAUUGACAGUCUCUCACAGCACAAUUGUAAGCUUCUAACACAAAGUUUUUUCUCCUGGGCAGAUUCCUUGUGUUAACUCUAUCAUGAAGUAGCUUCUAGAAGAAAACCUUAUGUUUGGGCUGACAGGAGCAUUUCCAAACCAAGUUGAAGUGUAGGGGAACUUGCUUGUGGCCAAUCAGCACUUUGUAGGCUUUGAUGGAUGAAUAGAAUUCAUUUCCCCAAAUGUAACUCCAGGUGUCCAGAGAAUCCAUAUGCUCAGAUUGCCUUGUGGUGAUGCAUAUAUCUUCCACCUGCAGGAAUUUCUCAUAGGCUUCAGUUGUGAGUGGUAAAUGAAAUAAGUCCUGGAGGUAUUCAGUAUUGAUUACUGUUUGGACAGUUACUUGUGGGUUUCUGACAAAGGAGUGCAGAUGGUGAUAUUUGUGUUUAAAAAUGGAUGUGUGCCACAGGUCAUCCUAGAAUAAAGUUGUCCUACCAUCUCCCACAUUACAUCUUGCUAUUGCUUUGUAUUGAUCCAUAAGAGCCAGGUUUGAUUUCCACCAGAAAGAGCCAAUCAUGCUAUCUCCUAGAAGUUGCCCAUCAGAAUAAUAAGUUUCCCAGAUUAAUUGUACCCAAGGUAUAUCAUGACUAUUGAAGAAUUUGUGCAGGUUUUUCAUCAGCAGGGUUUUGUUGUGAGUGUAUAUAUCCAAGAUGCCCAAUCCUCCCUGAUUUUUUGGUCUACAUACUGUGUGCUUGGCCACCAAAGCUGGUCUUCUAUCCUCCGUGUCAGAGCUCCUCUAGAGAAGUGUCUUAAAUAUUUGAUGAUCUGCUCCUUAAUUGUUAUUGGAAUGUCCAAACAGCUCAUGAAGAAGACAGAUAAGGAAGAAAGAACUGAUUUGACUAACAGAACUUUCCCUGCUUGUGUCAUGAAGAUAGAAAGGCUAGCAAGUCUCUUUGCAACUCUGUUAACUAAGGGAAGACACUACUCUACAGUUGGUUUAUAAAUUCCCAAAGGUAGCCCAGAUAUGUAUGUGGGAAUUGCCCCCUAGAACAAUGCAGUGUGUUAGUGAAGAUGUCCACUCUAUCUUCCUCAAUGUUCAGACAUCCUGAAUAUCAGAAAUCAACUGACAAGCAAUUGGGUCAACACCAAUUACAACAAGUCCCCUUGAAAAGACAUCUUGAAGCUACACUAGGUGAGUUUUUAUCAACAAACUUGCACGACUUUUCAAAAAGCAGAAACUUACUUGCAUUUGUGACUAUACUUGCAACAAUACUAGCCUAUAACUUUCUUGUAGUAAUUUCAACCCAUAAAGUUCCUUCAAUCCAUAAUUUUUUUCCUACAUUUUUUCUAUGCAAGAGUUUAUUAUUUCUUCUUCAAUUUGUUUGUGUGUUUUGCUAUUCAAUUAUUAUCACAUACCAACUAGUAGCCAGUAUCAUUAUUGAAACUUGGACAAUAUGCAACACAAGUUGCAUGCAUAGUAAAAGUAAUGCAAUAGAACCAACUUUGAAGAUAAGAUCUCUGUUUAACAUGGUUCAAUCAAAUUACAGAGUUGUAAGCUAAAAUUCAAAGCCCUCAUACAUAUGUAGAUUAUGGUAUUGUAAACAAUGGAAUAGGAACAUGAAUAAUAGUUCAAAUAGAGGAAUUAUCUAGAAGGAAUAUUGGGUAGUGUGUGGGCCUCCUCCAAUAUCUUGCUUUGCAAGCAUCAUCUCCACCUUCUUCAUUCUCUAGGGUGUGAUUUUCACACCAAUCUUGUUGGGCAGAGUGCCAAAUUGUGUUCAACAGAGCCACUAUAACUGUAUUUGUUCAUUUUUUUGGGUGCAGUUCAAGUGCCGAUUGAAUCCUCUUAGUUUUCGCCCUUCCUUUGGUUCUUGAUUUUGGUGGGUCUCUAGGGAUUGGCGGGUCACGUGUUGGAGUAGGAUAUGCAAGGUGUUGUUCAAUUGUAGAAGCACCUACCCGCGUUUCGCCACCCCUGCGUAGUGGCACAAAUUGGAGUGGUGGCUGUGCAUGACCACCAUGAGGUGUUGCAGAAGAAGACAACUGCGGGGCUCCACUCUUUUGCUGUUGUGUAGAAGUAGGAUGUUGUCCGGAGCCACUCUGCACUUGAGCAAGUACCGAUGGCGGUGGUGGGGCAGCUACCCUGGGUGUUUCUACUGGCCACCUGUUUGGUUGUGCAGGACCCUUUGGUAGGGGGCCUGCCCCCAUGUGUAGUUGUGCAGGCCCUCUGUUUACCGGUGUAGUCCCUUUUGGUUGUGUUGUAGCAACUCUUGGUGGUGGUGCAGCCACCAUUGGCACUGGUGGAGGCCCCUAGGCUGAGGUGCAAGCCCUGGCAUGGGCUGUGCACAUACUCUAGAAGGAUCAGCCAUUGGGGCUGCCUUUCUUUGCUUUGGUGCAGAAGUAGUGGGAUGCUAUGCAGAGCUGCUUGGUGGUCAUGCAGGUGCAGUAGGAGGUGGAGGAGGGGCAUUGUUUGUCGAAGGAGCACUGGAUUGUGGUGCAGAACCACCACUUGAUGAUGGUGGACCACCAGGGGGUGCAUUGGGAGGUAUUGUUGGCUUGUUUUUCUUCGAACAAUUCAAAUGUCUUAUUUCUGUCCGAGCUGACCGCAUAUGUUUCCUUAUGAUAUCCGAAGUAGCAUCUGUCGCACUAGCAACAUGAGCAAGGCUUGCAAAAUCCAUUGUCAAGUUUGUAUGCCUUAUUUCUUUCUUGGACCGCGCUGGCAAUUCAUCGGGUUGACCUUCGACAGGAGAGGGUGCACUGGGAAUUGCCCUAGGUGUCCAUCUCAAAGAAUGUAUUUUGCUGGAAUAUUAGCGAUACCAAGUUCGGUCAAAAACUUCAAGAUGUGGCAGCAAAGCAUGUCAUCCCUGUCCAUUUUGCAGCAUUCACAUGUGUAGUCUCCAACACUAGAGUCUGAUGUCACAAAAUAACUCUUGGAACCAUAUUUAGAAACCCACAGUGUGGUUGAACUCUGUUAUAAUUCCUCGAGUACUGUGUGUGUCAGCAUACCGAUCCAGGGAUGACACUUAAGCACAGAGACUUCGAUCCAUUUGGGUCGGGUCGCCACAAGAUGGUAUCAUAGCACACGCUGACUAUAGGACGCGGCCACUAGGAAAUGGAAAGCCAUAGGAAGAAAACUCUAUUUUACGACUUCCUUAAAUAUUCGUUGGUCUAUACUCUUCUCUAUUCAUUUCUAUCUCUUCUUCACUUCAAUAAAAUAGUUGACGAACCCCAUCACCAAGUUGCUCAGCUCGAUGAGACCAUGACCUAUGAAGAGAUCAUUGACGACGAAGAAGAAGCUAGAGUUGACUUUGAUUUGAGAAGAUUUAGUUCAGACCACCACUACCAAGUUGAGUCCAACUAAUGAUUUGUGGUAGUAUGAAGAGAUCAUAUCUCUUGUGGAUAUGACCUUACAUGUAGGUUUUGCUUGUGUGGUGUGAUACGUGUGAAUUGCCUGAUUUGGAGUUCUCUUGCUAUCAUUAGCAUAUGGGUAGUGCUUUUUAUCAUUGGGCACUUAUUAUAUUCUAAUUUCUCAUCCACUCUAAACCGGACAGAUGCCUCCAAGACGUAACCCAGAAUUCCCACCGGAACUUACCCAAUUGAUCCAGAACUAGAAUGCCCUCAUGCAGCUACUCAUCUAGAAUCAGAACCAGAACAACAACAACAACAACAACAACAACAACAACAACAACAACAACAACAACAACAACAACAACAACAAGAACAACAACAACAACAACAACAACAACAACAACAACAACAACAACAACAACAACAACAACAACAACAACAAC
rnacentral:lncRNA from 1 species